GUGUCAGCAGCCGCGGUAAUACGUAGGGGGCUAGCGCUGUCCGGAUUUAUUGGGCGUAAAGGGCGCGUAGGUGGCGGCCCAAGUCCAUGGUGAAAGCUCGAUGCUCAACAUCGAGUCGGCCACGGAUACUGGGUUGCUCGAGCACUGUAGGGGCAGAUGGAAUUCCGGGUGUAGCGGUGGAAUGCGUAGAGAUCCGGUAGAACACCGGUGGCGAAGGCGGUCUGCUGGGCAGUUGCUGACACUGAGGCGCGACAGCGUGGGGAGCAAACAGGAUUAGAUACCCUCGUAGUCC
rnacentral:rRNA from 1 species